rnacentral:rRNA from 1 species
AACGUAGACGAAAGUUACGCUAAUACCGCAUACGAUCUACGGAUGAAAGCGGGGGAUCGCAAGACCUCGCGCGAAUGGAGCGGCCGAUGUCAGAUUAGGUAGUUGGUGGGGUAAAGGGCUCACCAAGCCAACGAUCUGUAGCUGGUCUGAGAGGACGACCAGCCACACUGGAACUGAGACACGGUCCAGACUCCUACGGGAGGCAGCAGUGGGGAAUUUUGGACAAUGGGCGCAAGCCUGAUCCAGCCAUUCCGCGUGCAGGAUGAAGGCCUUCGGGUUGUAAACUGCUUUUGUACGGAACGAAACGGCGAGCUCUAAUACAGUUUGCUAAUGACGGUACCGUAAGAAUAAGCACCGGCUAACUACGUG